AGUGAACGCUGGCGGUAGGCCUAACACAUGCAAGUCGAACGGCAGCACAGUAAGAGCUUGCUCUUACGGGUGGCGAGUGGCGGACGGGUGAGGAAUACAUCGGAAUCUACUUUUUCGUGGGGGAUAACGUAGGGAAACUUACGCUAAUACCGCAUACGACCAACGGGUGAAAGCAGGGGAUCUUCGGGCCUUGCGCGAUUGAAUGAGCCGAUGUCGGAUUAGCUAGUUGGCGGGGUAAAGGCCCACCAAGGCGACGAUCCGUAGCUGGUCUGAGAUGAUGAUCAGCCACACUGGAACUGAGACACGGUCCAGACUCCUACGGGAGGCAGCAGUGGGGAAUAUUGGACAAUGGGCGCAAGCCUGAUCCAGCCAUACCGCGUGGGUGAAGAAGGCCUUCGGGUUGUAAAGCCCUUUUGUUGGGAAAGAAAAGCAGCAGGUUAAUACCCCGCUGUUCUGACGGUACCCAAAGAAUAAGCACCGGCUAACUUCGUG
rnacentral:rRNA from 1 species